rnacentral:rRNA from 1 species
GAUGAACGCUGGCGGCGUGCCUAAUACAUGCAAGUCGAGCGAACGGACGAGAAGCUUGCUUUUCUGAUGUUAGCGGCGGACGGGUGAGUAACACGUGGAUAACCUACCUAUAAGACUGGGAUAACUUCGGGAAACCGGAGCUAAUACCGGAUAAUAUUUUGAACCGCAUGGUUCAAAAGUGAAAGACGGUCUUGCUGUCACUUAUAGAUGGAUCCGCGCUGCAUUAGCUAGUUGGUAAGGUAACGGCUUACCAAGGCAACGAUGCAUAGCCGACCUGAGAGGGUGAUCGGCCACACUGGAACUGAGACACGGUCCAGACUCCUACGGGAGGCAGCAGUAGGGAAUCUUCCGCAAUGGGCGAAAGCCUGACGGAGCAACGCCGCGUGAGUGAUGAAGGUCUUCGGAUCGUAAAACUCUGUUAUUAGGGAAGAACAUAUGUGUAAGUAACUGUGCACAUCUUGACGGUACCUAAUCAGAAAGCUACGGCUAACUACGU